rnacentral:rRNA from 1 species
CGCGGUAAAACCAGCACCUCAAGUGGUCAGGAGGAUUAUUGGGCCUAAAGCAUCCGUAGCCGGCUCUGUAAGUUUUCGGUUAAAUCCGUGCGCUCAACGCACGGGCUGCCGGAAAUACUGCAGAGCUAGGGAGUGGGAGAGGUAGACGGUACUCGGUAGGAAGGGGUAAAAUCCUUUGAUCUAUCGAUGACCACCUGUGGCGAAGGCGGUCUACCAGAACACGUCCGACGGUGAGGGAUGAAAGCUGGGGGAGCAAACCGGAUUAGAUACCCGGGUAGUCCCAGCUGUAAACUAUGCAAACUCAGUGAUGCAUUGGCAUAUGGCCAGUGCAGUGUCGCAGGGAAGCCGUUAAGUCUGCCGCCUGGGAAGUACGUACGCAAGUAUGAAACUUAAAGGAAUUGGCGGGGGAGCACCACAAGGGGUGAAGCCUGCGGUUCAAUUGGAG